rnacentral:lncRNA from 1 species
AAAUGCAAAAUUCAUCCGUUAAUAAACACACACACAGCGAAUCUGACGUGCGAUGCGAAAUCGAUUCUUCAACGCCGGGAGCCGUCGGCUCCGUUCAGACCUUAGACUUCAUCCUUCUCCUUCUUCCUUUCCCUCGCUACCCGCAGCCAAAUAAUUUCUCAUUCUCCCAAUAUUUACUCCAUUCCCUUUGGGUCUUGUAGCGAUGAUUGCUAUUAAAGAGGAUUCUUUCAUAUUGAUUCCCAAGAAAAAAAUAAUUAACAAAAAGAAAAGAUUGGAGAGGAUUACAUGUGAUCUUUCACCCAUCUAUAUACAUCUGUCUUCUAGCUAAAAUAUCACACUUGUCUAUUUCUUUUUAUAUUUUUAUUUUUUAUUUUUUUGUGUAUGACAGCUUAUCUUUUUAAUUAUUAUAAUAACACG